rnacentral:rRNA from 1 species
CGUACACUCCUGCGGGAGGCAGCAGUGGGGAAUAUUGGACAAUGGGCGCAAGCCUGAUCCAGCCAUGCCGCGUGAGUGAUGAAGGCCCUAGGGUUGUAAAGCUCUUUCACCGGUGAAGAUAAUGACGGUAACCGGAGAAGAAGCCCCGGCUAACUUCGUGCCAGCAGCCGCGGUAAUACGAAGGGGGCUAGCGUUGUUCGGAUUUACUGGGCGUAAAGCGCACGUAGGCGGACUAUUAAGUCAGGGGUGAAAUCCCGGGGCUCAACCCCGGAACUGCCUUUGAUACUGGUAGUCUUGAGUUCGAGAGAGGUGAGUGGAAUUCCGAGUGUAGAGGUGAAAUUCGUAGAUAUUCGGAGGAACACCAGUGGCGAAGGCGGCUCACUGGCUCGAUACUGACGCUGAGGUGCGAAAGCGUGGGGAGCAAACAGGAUUAGAUACCCCUGUAGUCC